rnacentral:lncRNA from 1 species
GAUCAAGUCUGUGAGGUCCAGCAGAUCUGGGAACAGUUCAGCGUUCAGACCGUCAGCUUUCAGCAGCAGAUCGACUGGGCUCUUGGGAAACUCCGGAACCUCCAGGAUGCCAUGAACCAGCUGGAGCUCGGGUUGGUGGAGAUGGAGAAUGAAAACUGGCCCUCUGAGGAACAGGGCAUGGUCAACUGCGUGCUGGAUAGUGUGGAAAAUAUGGGCACUUUGGGUAGUCAGCAUCCACAAAGCUCUCAGACGGAGAGGAGACUUUUGUCGCAUGACUUCUUGUCAGAUUCUGUUCAGUUCCCAUGGCAGAGAGCUGUUUUUCAUAACGACGUCCCUUAUUAUAUCAAGUGAGUUUUGUUUCAUGCACCCCUCAUCUCUUCUGUGACACAUCUUUCACUUCAUGUGA